UACGUAGGGAGCGAGCGUUGUCCGGAAUCAUUGGGCGUAAAGAGCAUGUAGGUGGAUCAAUUAGUCUGCUGUGAAAGUCAAAGGCUCAACCUUUGAAAGCCGGUGGAUACUGUUGGUCUAGAGUACGGAAGAGGCGAGUGGAAUUCCAGGUGUAGCGGUGAAAUGCGUAGAUAUCUGGAGGAACACCGGUGGCGAAGGCGGCAUCCUGGACCGACACUGACGCUGAGGAGCGAAAGCCAGGGGAGCAAACGGG
rnacentral:rRNA from 1 species